AUUGAACGCUGGCGGCAUGCCUUACACAUGCAAGUCGAACGGCAGCAUGGAGAGCUUGCUCUCUGAUGGCGAGUGGCGAACGGGUGAGUAAUGCAUCGGAACGUACCGUGUAAUGGGGGAUAACGUAGCGAAAGUUACGCUAAUACCGCAUACGACCUGAGGGUGAAAGCAGGGGAUCGCAAGACCUUGCGUUAUACGAGCGGCCGAUGUCAGAUUAGCUAGUUGGUGAGGUAAAGGCUCACCAAGGCGCCGAUCUGUAGCGGGUCUGAGAGGAUGAUCCGCCACAGUGGGACUGGGAGACGGCCCAGACUCCUACGGGAGGCAGCAGUGGGGAAUUUUGGACAAUGGGGGCAACCCUGAUCCAGCCAUGCCGCGUGAGUGAAGAAGGCCUUCGGGUUGUAAAGCUCUGUCGGCCGGGAAGAAAUCGCACAGGCUAAUACUCUGUGUGGAUGACGGUACCGGCAUAAGAAGCACCGGCUAACUACGUGCCAGCAGCCGCCGCAG
rnacentral:rRNA from 1 species